GUAUCUGGGCUCAGGCGGGACCACCCGCUGAACUUAAGCAUAUCAGUA
rnacentral:rRNA from 2 species